rnacentral:tmRNA from 1 species
GGGGAUGUAUUGGCUUCGACGGGGGUAUGGAAGAUCUGGUAAGCGAGUAGAAGGAAGUCAUGGACCUGCUUUAAACAACUAUGGCAAAAUAUAAACGCUGAAGAUAAUUUAGCACUAGUAGCGUAAGCUACUACGUCUUACCUAGGAUGUCCGCUGCUUAGGAUAAGGCGACGAUUAGCGGAAAAACGAGUCUGAGUAAGCUUUGCCUCAGAAACGGGAAACAUGAAGCUACCAAUAGUAAAGGCUGCUUGUAAACUUUACUAAAGGGAAAUUUGAUUACAAAACUACACUCGUAGAAAGCCUUAUUUUACGACUUUCGGACAGGGGUUCGACACCCCUCAUCUCCACCA